UACGUAGGUCCCGAGCGUUGUCCGGAUUUAUUGGGCGUAAAGCGAGCGCAGGUGGUUUAUUAAGUCUGGUGUAAAAGGCAGUGGCUCAACCAUUGUAUGCAUUGGAAACUGGUAGACUUGAGUGCAGGAGAGGAGAGUGGAAUUCCAUGUGUAGCGGUGAAAUGCGUAGAUAUAUGGAGGAACACCGGUGGCGAAAGCGGCUCUCUGGCCUGUAACUGACACUGAGGCUCGAAAGCGUGGGGAUCGAACAGG
rnacentral:rRNA from 1 species